CCGCUCUAAGUUGUUAUAGCAACGCCUGAUUAAAUCUAUUUAUUUCAUUUGCUCGCACUCGCAUAUGAAUGAAAUAUUACCCAGUUUGUUUAUUACGGUUCAAGCAUCAUUUUUACCAAAGUCACUCUGAUAAAUUCAUUCGGUUCAGUUAUUAUAUUAACUAUUUAUAAAGAUGCGACAGUGAACUGAAAUGAAAAACCAACUUGAAAAUCGAGAGCUUUAAUAUUUUUGUGCGCUUUCUCUGUCAUGUAUUAUUAUUUUUACGAUUUAACGAUACGAAAUACAAUUCGAAAAAUGGUUGGAAAUGGCAUCAGGCACCCCUCAACCCAUCUUUGCACUGAAUGACCGCUGAAACACUUGCCUGGCCGCGAAUAUUUGUUAUUUUCCAUACCCUGCAACAACAAAUGUGGUAAACGGGAGUCGAAUAAAUCUGUAAUGAUGCCCAGCAAAUAAAGUAAAAGUUAAAAAGGGAUGUGCAACUCACCUACAUAAAGAAUCGAUCCAAUAGUAGAGUAUCCUUCCGUUGGUCAAGUUCAUGUAAUGCACUCUAACUUAUUCAUUAUGUAUGUACAUCUACUAUACAUACAUUGCUUGAUAUUGUUGUUGUUGUUGCUGUUGUUUCUGUGGCUGCCACUUCGAUGUUGAUGCUGCUGCUGCUGCUGCUCGUUGGUUAUUUUAACAAUGUUUUAUGGUUUUGGCAGCAUUUAAACAGCGAAUUCAUUAAAUUUUAGCGCAUACAUAAACGACGCAUACGCCCCGUUGUCCGUUGUAAAUUGAGCAGCAUUUGUUGUGGAUCGAUACAUUGGAGUACUCGUAUCGUAUACGUAAUAUUGCCUCUCUAAUUGCACAAAUAUUUAUAUAUUUAAACGAUGUGUUGCUGCAGAUGAAAUAGCUUCUAAACCGGCAACUUCGAAAUAUGUUUUUCAAUUUGGCUUUAUUGUCUUAUUGCUGUUUCGUGUCUGUCCUGUUCUUAGCCUUGUCUUGUCUGCUCUGCGGUAUGGAAUGCCGUUUCAUUAAGUGUAAUAUUGUUCGCUUCUCAUUUGCAGAACGAAUUUAUUGCAAAGUGCUUGUGGCUAUUUAACGUUUUUAAUUGAAAAACUUUUGUUUUUGUUGUCGCUACGAGUUUGUACUAUCUAUCUCUCCAGGGAGAAGCUUCUUUGGUCACUGCUGGCAACCGUAUUCCUUAGUCAUCGUUGUAGUUGCUUGGUUUAAGUUGCUUGCUACCGCUGUCAACGACAACUACUUGCAGCCACUUAUCAUAAUUAGCCCUCUGAUGGUGCCGCUUCUCGAGGUGACGACGACGAUGAUGAUGAUGGAGGCUGCGGUGCAAAUGGCGAAGUUUUGCCUUCCAUACUAUACUAUACAACAUGCCAUCCACUUGGACCACAACGCCAUUAACAACUCAUUGCCAAUGGGUGGCAUCUUCUGCUCUUGCUGUUGCCGUUGCGAACAACAAAAUACUUGACAACAUAUACAUAUAUUUUCAUAACGGAAGAACAAACGAACGAAAGAAACAGAAAGUAAGCAAGAUGGAGUGAGUCAGUCAGUCAUUCAGUUCGGUCGGUCGGUCCACUUAUUCAUAUUGUUCCUGCGAGCUGCUUCAUCAUUAUUGACAGACGUAAUCAAUUGCAGUCCAUUAGACUUUUGCAAUCGGUUGCAGACAAAGGAGAAACCCUAAUACAAUUACAAUCGAGCUAUCGGGCAAUAUCUGUUUCGUUUCUGCUCUUUUAUUUCGUUCGUUCUUUGUGUGUUUUGCAGAGAAACAAGUAAUGAUAAAUAAAAGUACAAUUAUUUACCCAAAGUCAAAGUCUAUACAACUUAGUUUCAUUAUGAAUGUUAAUCAAUAAUUUGGUAAAUAACUCACCAACUGAAAAGUCCAUUAAAUGCUGCACUCCGAUUUGCUUUAAUCAACUUUAAACAUUCCGCUUCAGCACGUGAUUCGGUCAAUUAUGAUUUAUUGUCCUGACUGUGGCCAUUAACAAUUGUGAAUUGCAAUUACGUUUUGCUAAGAGACAAUCAAUUUAUUGUUGAAGUGACGCUUCCCUUGGCUAAUUGCCCAUUUAUAGAUUACUUACCACAUCAAAAAAGAGAGAGAGAUGGAAAAUAUAUGAUGACAAUGCAUUUAGUUCAAUAAUAAUACGUAUAUUCGUUUAUUACCCUGUCUUUCAAUGAUUUAAUCCCAAAAUUAUAAAUAAAAGGUAACAGAAUGUUUACAUUUGCUUUUCAUUUCAUUUCGUUUACUUCCUUUCAAUGUGAAAAAGCCUAUUUAAUUUUAUAAUGAAUCAAUAUUUGUUCUGGUCUCGCGUACUUUUAAGAAUGUGCAAUGCAUAUUUACCUUUUCGUUUUCUGUUUUGGCAAAUAGUCAAUAGUCACAACACAAAAUAAACAAUUUCUCAAAUAGUAUUGGACUGGAAGAAACAAUUACAAUUACGAUUAUGGUUUACGAUAACGAUUACGAAUGCGAUUACAAUUACAAUUACAAUCGCAAAAGGCAAACAAAUAGAGGAGCUAUUUGCAAGUA